UACGUAGGGUGCAAGCGUUGUCCGGAAUUAUUGGGCGUAAAGAGCUCGUAGGCGGUUUGUCGCGUCUGCUGUGAAAACUCGGGGCUUAACCCCGGGCCUGCAGUGGGUACGGGCAGACUAGAGUGCGGUAGGGGAGACUGGAAUUCCUGGUGUAGCGGUGAAAUGCGCAGAUAUCAGGAGGAACACCGGUGGCGAAGGCGGGUCUCUGGGCCGUAACUGACGCUGAAGCUCGAAAGCUAGGGGAGCAAACGGG
rnacentral:rRNA from 1 species